GAUGAAGAACGCAGCGAAAUGCGAUAAGUAAUAUGAAUUGCAGAAUUCAGUGAAUCAUCGAAUCUUUGAACGCACAUUGCGCCCCUUGGUAUUCCGAGGGGCAUGCCUGUUCGAGCGUCAUUAUAACCCCUCAAGCUCAGCUUGGUGUUGGGGCCUGCUGCACUGGCAGCCCUUAAAAUCAGUGGCGGCGCCAUCUGGCUCUAAGCGUAGUAAUUCUUCUCGCUAUGGAGUCCUGGUGGAUGCUUGCCAUCAACCCCCAAUUUUUCUAUGGUUGACCUCGGAUCAGGUAGGGAUACCCGCUGAACUUAAGCAUAUCAAUAAGCGGAGGA
rnacentral:misc_RNA from 1 species